rnacentral:rRNA from 1 species
GACGGAGGGUGCAACCGUUGUUCGGAAUUACUGGGCGUAAAGCGCGUGUAGGCGGCUUGCUAAGUCUGAUGUGAAAGCCCGGGGCUCACCCCCGGAAGUGCAUUGGACACUGGCGAGCUCGAGUCCCGGAGAGGAGGGUGGAAUUCCUGGUGUAGCGGUGAAAUGCGUAGAUAUCAGGAGGAACACCGGUGGCGAAGGCGGCCCUCUGGACGGUGGCUGACGCUGAGACGCGAAAGCGUGGGGAGCAAACAGG